UUUGCAACAGAUAUUUUAAUCAAAUUCUAUUUACAUAAUGUUUCUGGCAACAGCCUGAUAAAUAGAUACAAAUCAUUUAUUUAAAACAAUUCAAAUACACAUUCCUGUCAAUCCUUAUCCUACAACAAGACAUUUUACCUGCUUUCUUUUUUUCUUUCCAAGUCGUCAAUUCUUUUCAAAUUGUUACAAAAACUGUUGGAAAAAGUGGCUGUUGAAAGCAAAAAUUAGCAAUUGCUCAGUCUACGCUUUGAUGAUUUUAAGUAAGAUUCAAUCCAAUAGGGCAGUUCCAUAUGACAAGUGGUUUCAACACAUAACAAUCUCUAAACAGCUAAAGUGACAAUCAGAACAGGCCUACCUUCUCCAUAAAAAGACUUAAGAUGAGUCAUCACCCCUGAAUUCCAUACAAAACAUGGGUCUCCAUAACAUUUAUAUAGUCCUGAAUAAAAUCACACAUGACCUGAACUAGUUCAAGUGAUACCUGACAGCGGCUUACUAAGUUAUAAUCCUGGUUUCUUUUGAUAACUAUUUUACCCCUUAACCUAAUGAAUUUAAUUACAUCAUUAAUGUUAAACAAUUACCAUUCCUUGAGUACAAAGCACAUAAACCCACAAAAUUUCAUCAGGAACUAAAUUCAAAUUUUACAAAUAAUUCUUCAAAAGGUAUGACCUUAUGAAUUAAAAAUCCAAGGAAUGAUGGCUUUUCUUUUAACAAUUAAAAUUAACAUGCAUGAGUAACUAAUGGUAUUGUAAUUCCUGUGAAGCGUUGAGUUUUCAAUCCAAAUAAAAAGAGAGGAUUUUGUUAGCAAAAUAAAAUGUCAGAAAAAAGAAGAAAAAAUGGAUAUGCCAGUAGUGAAAAAUACUGUGGGAAUAACAGCAAAAUCUCCCUGUAAAUCAGAAAUCAGGUUCAACAACCUUAUUAUAUUAUUUGUGGCUUCAUCAUUAUUAAUGGGAUGCCAAUUUUCAAGGAUUUCAUCAUCAUUGGUUAACCACUAAUUAAGAUGUACAACUAAGAAGAAAUGUUCUAUAAGCUUGUAUGCAAACUCUGGAAAAUCCACGAAAUGAAAUAUCCUCAAAGAUAUGAUUUUUCAUCAAUCCACAAAAAUUGGUAUCCACAUAAAUAAAUGAAUCCACAGCAUUAAAUAAACUUGAAAUAAAAUUCUGUUAUGGUUCCAUUAAUCAUCAGACAAGACUUAUUCAAGGAAUUAAAUUCUAAAAUCCAGUGUAGAAUCCAAAACCUUAGAAGUUUUUAGAUUUAAUACAAUGUAAGAAAACGACUUCACACUUAAAAAUUCUGACGGUCUCUUAAAUCCAGUACGCUAUUUCAAUCUUCAAGUCUCUCACACCAAAUAAUCUUAAACAAAACUCAUUUCUUUUCAAUACACCUUACAUAUCAUCUCUUAGAUGUGAAUAUAUAAAAUACAAAAUUCCCAUGAUAAAAUAUAAUAACUACAAUGGAAAUUAAGAUAUGCAGCACUAAAAUAUAUCAUGAACCAUAUAUACAAAAUUAAUUAGGACAAGGUCUACCAUAACACAUAUUCAUUUGAUGAUUGUAAGUGUAAGGGAACUGCAAAGUAAAUUUGUAAUACUUGUAUCUUAUAUUAUUAAAUAAACAAAUUACAUAAGCUAUGCAAAAAAAACCAAACUUAUUGAUUUAUUAUGAGGGAGGAAGGGGGGUGGGGAGAAAAAAACUACAAGGCUUUUAUAAAAAAGACAAUAUAUGAGGAACUUGCCAAAUGGGGUAAGUAUCAAAUAUGAGAAAAUGUUUUCAAUUAUUUUCAAAAAAAAACAUUUUCAUGUCAAAACUUUCAUAAAUAAAUAAAGUAUAAUAUUCUACACUGAUUAAGACUGUUAUUCCGAACUGAACCACUCAAAUAACUUUGAGUUCACAAAAUCUGUAUGUAAAACUAUUCUAAACAAGUUUUAAAAUGAUCACCUUUUUUUGGUGUCUUCUUCAGACAACUAUAAAUCAUUCUUAACAGUGCAAAUUAGUUUUCUUGUAAAAAAAAAAGCAAAGAAAACAACAAAGAUCAACAAACAGCACAAAAAUACAGAUGUCUAUGAUAGCAUGUCAAACAUACAGGACUUUAGAAGACACAUUGUUAAAGUUUUAUAAUGGAGCCUAUGGUGAAUCUACAUAAUUCCAAAAGUAAAAAGCUACAAGUUUUGUGGCAGUGGCAAGACUAAAUAAUAAAUAAUAAGCACAAUUUCAACACAAAACAUGAAAUCACAAAACAUCUAAAUACCCUAUAAGAAAACACUUUUAAUGCAAAAUGAAAUUUCAUAUUAGUUAUAUAAUAACAUGUUUCUGAGGUAAAAGGCGUCAUUGUAAUAUUUUUUUAAUCUUUUUAAAACCUUGAAAACCUCAUCCAAUUACACUCAAAACUCAUACAAGUGUAUAUUUUUUUCGUCCAUAUGGUCAGGUCAAUUUAAACUACCUUGAGCUCCAUACAUUAAUAUAAUAAACAAACAAAGUUAAGGUAAAACAGCUUGCUUCAAGUGACUUUACCUGAAAUACACUGAGUUCAAUCUUAGUGAUUCUAGUUUAUAAAUUAUUCCAAUUUUAAGAAACAUCCUUCAUUUAAUAAUUUCAAAAUGCAACUGACAAUUUGCAAGAUUUUUUCACACUUGUAUGGUUUAGGUAUUAACCACAUCUCUAUCACAAUAUUUAUUAGCCUCCUAUUAUCAAGCAAAAUGCCCAAGAUGAGUUAGCUAGUGAACAUGAUGAAAUUGUAAGCCAUGUAAAACUGUAAUACAAGUAUAUCUGAUUAUUCAAUAAAAUACACAAUAAAAACUGUAAUUACUUUAUGUACAAUGUGUUAACCUUGGCAGUAACAAACAUUUGUUUGUGUUUUUCUUCCUUUUUUGGAACUAAAGCGUUAUAAACCCAUAAAAUAACAUAUUUGGUGACAAAAAUUGCUAUCACAGAAAGGCUUAUGUAAUUAUGACAUACUGGCACAUUAAGAAUUAUACAAACCAAAAUAAAUUACUUAGGGAUAAACUAUCAAUCAUAUUCCAGUCUUCAAGGACCACUCUUCUUGUAGAUACGGUGGAUUCAUUUAUUUUCUUGGGUACCAAUUUUCGUGGAUUGAGGAAUGCCCAUAUUUUCGGGAUAUUUGAAUUCAUGGUUUUGCCAAAGUCUGAAAAUAAACCUAUAGAAAAUUUGCAAUACAUUGAAAAUUUAAAUUUGUGGCACACAUGUAACCACGAAAUCAACGAAAAUUGAUAUCCAACGAAUAUAUAUGAAUCCACAGUAAUGCAAUCCUUUUCCAAAUUAACAUUUUUUUCUUUGUUCCAGUAUAAAAAUUCAAAUUAGUUUCAACUCAUUUCAUAAGAAUAGCUCUCAACAAGGGUUGUUAUUCAUUAUCUGAAAAUUAGAGGGAUUUUUACAUACUUUGGAAAAUAAAUGAUAAAUACAGUAGUAUGGGUUUAUACAAAGAAUUAAAAAUCUUCUUUUACAAACACUAGGUGUACCUAAUCAAACAAAAUCUGGAAAAUAAAGUGCUAUGCUUCUCUCACAGUGAUAAAAAAUGCCUUGGAAACUUAAGGAAUAGUUUUUAAUUAAAAUCACAUUUACCAUUUUAACGACAUUUUUAAAGUAAGGGAGAGAAAAAUAAAUGUAAAGAGCUCCACAUGUGUAAAACUUUUACACUGCUUUUACAGAGGUAUCUAAGGUUUGUUCACAAAAUUAUAAGACAUAUAAUAUUUCAAAAUAUUGAAAUGCAAUUUGUAUGCAUUAAAUGAUAAUUUGACUUUUCAAAUCUUAAGUAGUUUGUAUUUACAAAGAGAAAAGUUUCAGUCUAUAAUCCAUAAUUUUAAGAAUAAAAAAUUGCUGACAACCAAGACUCAGAAGAUAAAUUUUGAGAGCUCAUUGUCAAUUAAAUUAACUAACUAACAAAAAA
rnacentral:lncRNA from 1 species